AUUCCAGCUCCAAUAGCGUAUAUUAAAGUUGUUGCAGUUAAAAAGCUCGUAGUUGGAUUUCUGGGCUGAGCGACCGGUCCGCCGCUGUGCGGUGUGUACUCGUGUUCGACUCGGCUCAUCCUUGUGGGGAAACGCAUUUCGGCAUUAGGUUGUCGAGGCGGGGAACCGCAUCGUUUACUGUGAAAAAAUUAGAGUGUUUAAAGCAGGCAAAUUGCUGUGAAUACAUUAGCAUGGAAUAAUAACAUAGGACUUUGGUUCUAUUUUGUUGGUUUGCGCAUCAAGGUAAUGAUUAAUAGGGUCAGUUGGGGGUAUUCGUAUUCCGUUGUCAGAGGUGAAAUUCUUGGACUUACGGAAGACGAACGACUGCGAAAGCAUUUACCAAGGAUGUUUUCAUUA
rnacentral:rRNA from 1 species